rnacentral:misc_RNA from 1 species
UGCGCAUGCGUCUCUGUUUUA